rnacentral:rRNA from 1 species
GAUGAACGCUGGCGGCGUGCCUAAUACAUGCGAGUCGAGCGAAUGGAUUAAGAGCUUGCUCUUAUGAAGUUAGCGGCGGACGGGUGAGUAACACGUGGGUAACCUGCCCAUAAGACUGGGAUAACUCCGGGAAACCGGGGCUAAUACCGGAUAACAUUUUGAACCGCAUGGUUAGAAAUUGAAAGGCGGCUUCGGCUGUCACUUAUGGAUGGACCCGCGUCGCAUUAGCUAGUUGGUGAGGUAACGGCUCACCAAGGCAACGAUGCGUAGCCGACCUGAGAGGGUGAUCGGCCACACUGGGACUGAGACACGGCCCAGACUCCUACGGGAGGCAGCAGUAGGGAAUCUUCCGCAAUGGACGAAAGUCUGACGGAGCAACGCCGCGUGAGUGAUGAAGGCUUUCGGGUCGUAAACUCUGUUGUUAGGGAAGAACAAGUGCUAGUUGAAUAAGCUGGCACCUUGACGGUACCUAACCAGAAAGCCACGGCUAACUACGUGCCAGCCGCCGCAGUAA